GAUGAACGCUGGCGGCGUGCUUAACACAUGCAAGUCGAGCGAAGCACUUUGAAGUUUUCGGACAUCGAAGUGACUGAGCGGCGGACGGGUGAGUAACGCGUGGGUAACCUGCCUCAUACAGGGGGAUAACAGUUAGAAAUGACUGCUAAUACCGCAUAAGCACACAGGAUUGCAUGAUCCAGUGUGAAAAACUCCGGUGGUAUGAGAUGGACCCGCGUCUGAUUAGGUAGUUGGUGAGGUAACGGCUCACCAAGCCGACGAUCAGUAGCCGACCUGAGAGGGCGACCGGCCACAUUGGGACUGAGACACGGCCCAA
rnacentral:rRNA from 1 species